GAGAAAGGGGAAGGAAGGGGUGAGGCGGCUUGUGAAGGUUGGAGGGACGGAAAGACAGAAUAGUAAAGACAGGAAGGGAAGGAACAGAGGUGAAGAAGAAGAGAAAGUGUUUUAGGCACGCUCUCCACGGAUACGACGUGCCAGCUGGAUGUCUUUGGGCAUGAUGGUGACACGCUUGGCGUGGAUGGCGCACAGGUUGGUGUCCUCAAACAGACCCACAAGGUAAGC